AGAAAUGCCUCCAUGAGAUCCAGCUGUAAGGCAUUUUCUCAAGUAGUGGUCAAAGGUGGGAGGGCCCAUUGUAGGUGGUGCAACCCCUGGGCUGGUAGUCCUG
rnacentral:miRNA from 14 species